rnacentral:rRNA from 1 species
AUUGAACGCUGGCGGCAUGCCUUACACAUGCAAGUCGAACGGCAGCACGGGUGCUUGCACCUGGUGGCGAGUGGCGAACGGGUGAGUAAUACAUCGGAACGUACCUUAUCGUGGGGGAUAACGCAGCGAAAGCUGUGCUAAUACCGCAUACGCCCUGAGGGGGAACGCGGGGGAUCGCAAGACCUCGCGCGAUUAGAGCGGCCGAUGCCUGAUUAGCUUGUUGGUGGGGUAAAAGCCCACCAAGGCGACGAUCAGUAGCUGGUCUGAGAGGACGAUCAGCCACACUGGGACUGAGACACGGCCCAGACUCCUACGGGAGGCAGCAGUGGGGAAUUUUGGACAAUGGAGGCAACCCUGAUCCAGCAAUGCCGCGUGAGUGAAGAAGGCCUUCGGGUUGUAAAGCUCUUUUGUCAGGGAAGAAACACCGGCUCUAACACAGUCCGGGAAUGACGGUACCUGAAGAAUAAGCACCGGCUAACUACGUGCCAGCCGCCGCAGUAA